AUUCUGCUGUGUAUAUACUAGCCAAGGUAUUUAACCUAUGACCAAACCCACUCCGCAGUUGUAUGUCAUAAACUGCCAUAGAGACAGCAGUAUUACUUUUAGAUCCAUCAGUAUAAAGUUGGUUAUAAUUUUGCCACUCUGACAGCAUACUAUAUACCUCUUCCUUAUAUUUUAAUGAUUCAUUAAUAAUUAUUUUAAUAGGUGUAUAUUUUGAAUUAUAAGAAUUUAAAUAACAUGGCCAAAGAAUACUAGAAAAUAGAUUAUGAUCACAAGAAAAAUGUAACAAAUCAGAGAUGCCUUCUACUUGAUAGUAGGAAUUAUUGUCAGUUCGGUUAAUAUAGUCCUUUAUCUUUAAUAGGAGUGGAUGAUUAUUAAUAGAAGUUAAUUUGAGAAAGAAUUUUGUUUGUAGAUAUUUGAAUCUAAGAGCUAGUGGGGGAAUAUUACAUUCUACUUGUAAUGAUAUAAUAGGAGUAGACCUAAAAGCGCCUGUUAUGAUCCUUAAGCAUUUAUUCGGUAUUUUUUCUAAUUUAUUCACUAAUGUAAUUUCUCCACCAUAACAAAAGAAGGCAUACUCAAAAUGGCUACGGACUAAUGACUUAUAUAGUGUUAGCAAGAUGCGUGGGUCUGCACCCCAAUAUGUACCAGCUAAUGAUUUCAGAAUAUUGCAGGCCUUUAAUGCUCGAUUUUCUAUUAUUUCGACAUAUUUGUGCCAUCUAAAAUUACUUAAAAAGGGACAUUUAAGGAUAGAAGAAUGGAUGAUAAUUGUUCUAAAUCAACAUUAUUAAAUGCUCCUACAACAUCCAAAAAAACACCAGCCAAUAUCUUAUUGUCAAUCUGGGCACUAUGGAUGUCAAGACAUAAAUGCCGUAGACUCUCACAAGCAUAACGACCGCAUCGAAAUCCAAAUUGAUUAUCAGAUUAUUGUGUGGAGGAAUGUUGGAUGGAAUUGAAGAAGAUUCAGUUUCCGACACUACCAUGGAAAAUUUUGUGAUUGUAGGUAAGUGAUAGCUGCCCAAAGACUGAUGAACUUGCCAUUCACAGCACAGGAAUAAUGAAGAUGAUACUAUUGUUAGAUCUAGUCCAUUUGGCGGGAUGGCAGAUGGCGGGCUUUGAUGUAAUAUUACAACACACAUAAGAAAUUAAACAUAAUAAGAAAUUCGAAAGGUCUUUAUUUAACAAACAUUAACCAUAAAUGUGACAGUAAUUUUAUAACAGCAGAUUAAUGCAUGACGUGACAUAAGACUAUUUAGCCAAAUGUCUUUUUUGAUGAAGGCUGCAUUGGUACCUGAUAGGAUUGAGAACAGCUAAUGUCCACGUGGGAAUUAAAUUUUGAAUAUAUUUUUAUUCAUUACUAGCUGACCCGACAGACGUCGUGCUGUACAUAUUAAAUCUUCUUCUUAUCAAAACCUUUACUGGACUUCCACAAAAAAUUCAAGACUAAAAUUAGCCAAAUCGAUCCAGCCAUUCUCGAGUUUUAGCAAGACUAACGAACAGCAAUUCAUUUUUAUAUAUAUAUAGACUUUACUGUACUAUAUUAUCUACUAUACAAUUUGUAAAUGAAACAUUCUUUCACAGAUCUAAUGGCUCCACAGCGCACAAAGAUCAAGCAUCUUCAAGCAGAAAUAUAGCGCUUGCGAAAAAAAGGACAAUCUUUCAAAGCAAGGUUAAAAAAGGUGCUGAAGAUUUGUCCAGCAGCAAUGUGUUUCAACAUUUUGCUAUGAAAUUUAAGAAACCAGCUCAAUUAUUUUUAAGUAUGCAGUUGCAAGCAUCAAAAAACCCAAAAAUGAUAGAAAUAACAAUGAUUAUAUAAAAGCAAAAGAAUACAAUAAUAAAAAAUGGUUAUGUUGUCCAAAUCAAGAAUUAGAAAAUUGCUUCCAUGACAUUCAAAAUAUAAUACCUGGGAUCUUAAAAACAGAUAUACCCAAAAAAAAAUUUAAAAAAGCAUAUUAUAUAAAUAGCAGAUGUGAUGGUAGAUUAUCCUUAAUUGCACCACACAUAAAGAAAAGUUGAAACAAUAUUUUAAUAACACAACUAUAAAUGUUAUUUUGUAUAGCUGGUGCAGAUCGAUCAAUCGAAUUUUGUCUGGAAAAUAAACAUAUGUGGGUGAAGACGAAACAAAAACAGCUGCCCAACAAUAUUACGAUAAACAUAAAUAUUAUAAA